rnacentral:rRNA from 1 species
AUUGAACGCUGGCGGCAUGCUUUACACAUGCAAGUCGAACGGCAGCGCGGGCUUCGGCCUGGCGGCGAGUGGCGAACGGGUGAGUAAUUCAUCGGUACGUGCCCAGUCGUGGGGGAUAGCUCGGCGAAAGCCGGAUUAAUACCGCAUCCGAUCUGAGGGUGAAAGCGGGGUAUCUUCGGACCUCGCUCUAUUGGAGCGGCCGAUGGCAGAUUAGCUAGUUGGUGGGGUAAAGGCCUACCAAGGCGACGAUCUGUAGCUGGUCUGAGAGGACGACCAGCCACACUGGGACUGAGACACGGCCCAGACUCCUACGGGAGGCAGCAGUGGGGAAUUUUGGACAAUGGGCGAAAGCCUGAUCCAGCAAUGCCGCGGGUGUGAUGAAGGCCUUCGGGUUGUAAAGCACUUUUGGCGGGAACGAAAAGGACUGUGCCAAUACCACGGUUCGAUGACGGUACCCGCAGAAUAAGCACCGGCUAACUACGUG